GCAGCCAAGGCACCUCCAUCCCGCCGCCGUCUCCUCCCCUCGCCCUCGCCGGCGAACCGCCGCCGGUGAUUCUGAUCGAUCCAGUCAGAGGAACCGCCGCCGGACGGAGGGAACAACGCGAAGCAACCUCUUCUGAUUGAGUGGGGGAGAUGUGGCAUUUACGAGGUUUUAGGCCUGAUUGGAGUGCCGAUUGGUCUGCAAAUCUUUGAUAUUUCAUUUGGGGUUUGGUGAGUGUCUCUCAGCAGCUGUUGGUACCCGUUGGUAGGUUAUUUCGAGCAGAUCAUGUUGAAUGAUGUGGAGCAUGUUAUUGGCUGUAUCAAAGCAACACCUUUUAUCUUGCCAGGAAGGGGAGGUUGGACAAGGAAGUAUUGGUCGUUACAGUUGUCUUGUACAAGCCAAAACUAGGAAUCGUUUCUGGAGUCCCCACAUUCGCUGAAUUGGUCAGCAUCGCUGAAUCACUGAAUUGGUGAAUGGCGGAAAGUAACCUAUUCAUUCGUAUGACACACACCAGUCAUGCUGCGAGGUUAUCUAUUCAUUCGUUCAUCAUUAUGCCUCCUGGUAGGACUGAAUCACACCGUAGUUGCAGGGAGAGGCUGAGGCACUCCCUCCAGUCGGUGAAGGCGCGCGCCGUGGCUCCCCUCCUCUGAAGUCGUGUAGGAUACAUCUGGUGAUUGGUAUUAUUUUUUUAAUUCGUUUGCAGCUGAUUAUCACUCGAGGAGGGAACAGGGAAGCCAAGUACCCAGCGAGAGACAAUGCAGGAGGACUGGGGUGUUCCUUCCCGAGGAUAAUGACGCCCGGCACGGUAGGUGUCGGUGUUUAAUCUCCAAGUCUACCAAGUGAUAACUUAAGGUGGUGAGUUGCAGUAAGGUGUCGCCGAGAUCAGAAACUCGAAAGUGCAUGGAACACAAAGUUUAGACAAGUUCGGACCGUCGAGAGCGUAAUACACUACAUCCUGUGUGGUGGUUUGUAUUGCUUUAGAUGUUGAUCGGUUAAUCUUAUUUGGAGAGGGUCUCUACCCAUCCUUAUAUAA